rnacentral:RNase_P_RNA from 13 species
AAGAGAAAGAAAAAAAAAAUAGAGAAGAAAAAAAAAAGAGAGGGAAAAAGGGGGUCCCUUCUUCUUCUGUUUUCUCUUUCUCUUGAAAAGAAAUCUCACACACACGCUUCUCAAACACACGUUUCUUCUCUUGCUCUUCCUCUCCUCUCUCACUCGCUCUUCUACUUUUCGUAAAUUAUUUUCUCUCUUCAAAGUCCUCCCCCCAAAAAAAGGCCAAAGAAGAGAGAAAGAAAUGUGAACUUAUAUGAUUUAAUUUAUGUCACAUAAAUGAAAGAAAAAUCAAAAAAA